rnacentral:misc_RNA from 1 species
GCGUGCCCAGACACUGCUUGAGUCAG